rnacentral:misc_RNA from 1 species
GAAUUUUUGCAGCCAUCCUUUUGUGAGGUGCUUCAUGACAGGCAUUUUGGUGCAAUACAAGAACGUGCAGCUUCACGCCUGGUUCAUGAAGAAUGCUGAUAGGAGUUUUCAUCACCCACAGGAUGUUCUUGUAACAUUGUUUUGCCAGACAUUUUUUCUUGUUUCAGAACUGUGAAAAAUCUCAGGCUCUUUCAUCUGUGUAGUAUAUUCCUCAACACAAUUGUAUUUUGGC